rnacentral:rRNA from 1 species
UACGGAAGGCAGCAGUGGGGAAUAUUGCACAAUGGGCGCAAGCCUGAUGCAGCCAUGCCGCGUGUAUGAAGAAGGCCUUCGGGUUGUAAAGUACUUUCAGCGGGGAGGAAGGCGAUGUGGUUAAUAGCCGCGUCGAUUGACGUUACCCGCAGAAGAAGCACCGGCUAACUCCGUGCCAGCAGCCGCGGUAAUACGGAGGGUGCAAGCGUUAAUCGGAAUUACUGGGCGUAAAGCGCACGCAGGCGGUCUGUUAAGUCAGAUGUGAAAUCCCCGGGCUUAACCUGGGAACUGCAUUUUGAAACUGGCAGGCUUGAGUCUCGUAGAGGGGGUAGAAUUCCAGGUGUAGCGGUGAAAUGCGUAGAGAUCUGGAGGAAUACCGGUGGCGAAGGCGGCCCCUGGACGAGACUGACGCUCAGGUGCGAAAGCGUGGGGAGCAAACAGGAUUAGAUAACCCGU